rnacentral:misc_RNA from 1 species
GAUGAAGAACGUAGCGAAAUGCGAUAAGUAGUGUGAAUUGCAGAAUUCAGUGAAUCAUCGAAUCUUUGAACGCACAUUGCGCCCGCCAGCACUCUGGCGGGCAUGCCUGUUCGAGCGUCAUUUCGACCAUCAGGCCCUCCGGGCUUGUGUUGGGGCUCCCUGCGGCUGUCCGCAGGCCCUGAAAACCAGUGGCGGGCUUGCAAAGUCACACCGAGCGCAGUAGAUUUUUUUCAUCUCGCUCAGGGCGUGCGUGCGGGCGCCGGCCGUAAAAGACGAGAGCGCGGCCUCGGCCGCCCACAAAUACCACAAGGUUGACCUCGGAUCAGGUAGGAAUACCCGCUGAACUUAAGCAUAUCAAUAAGCGGAGGA